UACAGAGGUCUCAACCGUUGUUCGGAUUCAUUGGGCGUAAAGGGUGCGUAGGCGGUCGUGCAAGUCGGAUGUGAAAUCUCAGGGCUCAACCCUGAAACUGCAUUCGAUACUGCGCGGCUAGAGUGCUGGAGGGGAGACUGGAAUUUACGGUGUAGCAGUGAAAUGCGUAGAGAUCGUAAGGAAGACCAGUGGCGAAGGCGGGUCUCUGGACAGUUCCUGACACUGAGGCACGAAGGCCAGGGGAGCAAACGGG
rnacentral:rRNA from 1 species